CCACACUUGGCCGCGGCCCCGGGGCGCGCGGGGCCCCGUCCUGCUGGUGCGCGGGGCUCUGGAGCCAGAAAGUGUACACAGACCAUAAAUCUCCUGCCCCGCCCGGCGCCGGGCCCCUCGCUCCGGCCCUGGGAGCUGCGGCCGGCUGCAAAGCGCUGCUGGGACCCGCCGCAGCUCCAGGCCGGUCGCAUCCGUCCCGCCGCUGCAGGGGCACCCCCGGCAGCCUGGGGACUCGGGUCACAGGCUCCCCGGCAGCGGCGGGGGAGGAGGAGGAGGAGGUGGUAGAGGAGGAGGAGGAGGCGGGGAGGGGGGGCGGAGCGGGAAGCAGGCGAGGCCUGUAGGGAUGCGCACGUCGGGAGGCCAGGUGAGGAUGGAAAGAGAAAGGAGCGAUUAGGAGCACAAGGGAGGGGGGGGGAGCCUCUGAGCCUUCUAGAACCCUCAGAUCUUUCCACGUUGGGGUGGAGGAGGACAGCAAGUGUUCGCGGCCACCAUUCCCUUACAGAUGUGUUUGUAGCGAGCUCUCCCCGCCUUCGCUCGUCAACCUUGUGCACCAGCCAGGGCGCACCGGGAAUGCGCUCUCCCUGGGGGUGCAGCCAGAGGAUUCUCCGUGGAUGUCUCUGUGGGGGUGUCUCCUCUCACAACGUUAAGUGGAUAUCUGAAAUAAGGAAUGGAGUGAUUCACAAAGAGAGAGAGAGAGAGAGAGAGAGAGAGAGAGCAGAGCUGUUCUUCAAACUUUGAUCUUUUCUUUGAAGAGGGAGAGUCGGGGAAACCCACCAGUUCAGGAUUGGGACCAGAGACCCCAGGGCUUGGGGGGUCAGAGGCUUAGCCACGCCCCUUGCCAGCCAGUACCCGGAUCCGAUUACCCCACCCCGCUGCUCCUGCGACUGUACGUCUGGAAAAAUGGGAUCUUCGCGCCCCGGGUGCAGGGAAGGUUAAAUGAGAUACAGGAUUUUCGAUUCUUGCUUUCAAAGUGGGAAGGGACUGAGUUUGUUUCCUCCGUUUUCCCUUGCACGCCUCCCCCACCCCGCCCCCAGCUUGGGUGCUUUCCAAGCAAAGACGCGUCCGGGACGGAAGAAAUUAGCGAGGUAAUGGUGGUAAUAGUGGUGACAGUUAAACAAUUCUCGCUUAGUGAGCGCCUUCUGUUUGCCAGGGUGCGCGUGCCCCAGACCGUGCCUGCGCCCGUGCCUGUGCGCGGUAUCAGGUCCCCCAACCUCUGCAGACCGGAGGCUGAGCUGCCUGCAGGUUGCUGCGCAAACCCACCGGGACGCAAAAGGCAAGGCUUGGUGGGAGAGCUGGAGAGGACUCAGAAGGCAGCCACGGGUUUCCUCUCAACCAUUCCUCUGCGAUGGGAAAACCCAAAGAGGGGGAAAGAGCACGAAACUGCACUCUGAAAGAGAGAAGUCAACAGAGGAGGCAGCGACCUUGCAGGAGACGAGAACAAAGGGAUUUGGCUUAGAUCACCCGCGAAGGACCCCAGGCACCUUAUGGGACGAUUUUUCUGGGUGCUGCGCACCCGCGGGGGGGCUGAUGUCGGGAUCAACCAGAGCGAGGUCGCGACCUGCGGGCCCUCGCUGACCUUGGAUUGGGCUCUGGGCCACCCGCUGGGGAUCCGAGAAGACGGAGGACUCGGGACCCUCCACCACCCAAAGGAGCGGUGAACAGGGUGAGGGGUGGGCGUCCCCCUAAAGGCUUGAGGCUUCAAGCACGGCCUGAGCUGGGAGCCCAGAGCCCAGCCACACCGAGUCUCAGGGACGCUUCUUUGGAGCGCAAGCACGGCCUGUGAGUCUCUCCAUAGACGGAUCCAGAAAAUGGCCAGAUGAUCAACAGAUGCCUGUGGGGAUUGCGAGAUAAGGAAUCCUACUCGGUCAUUAAGUCAUUCGUUCCUUCGUUCAUUCAUUAGCUCUUUUCUUGAGCUCGUCUCACGUGCUGUGAAGUGCGGGGUGCACUCUUCACCCCAUUCCGACAAACAAAAAUAAACCGCCCUGAUGAAUCA
rnacentral:lncRNA from 12 species